AAUCCCCUGCCGUGUUCGUGAUUGGAAGACGUUCUUUGUUCCAACAGCUAUCAAAAGGGAGCUGUCUCUGGUUUUGGUGAGCAUGUUCCGCUCUGACGGAAAAGCCUAAAGAAGCUAUCAUGGCGCCCACUUUUUUUAAUUGGUUCAAAGGCCUGCCAACACGGCGCUGGCGGGGGUAUU
rnacentral:other from 1 species